rnacentral:rRNA from 1 species
UGGGGAAUAUUGCACAAUGGGCGCAAGCCUGAUGCAGCCAUGCCGCGUGUAUGAAGAAGGCCUUCGGGUUGUAAAGUACUUUCAGUCGGGAGGAAGGUGGUAAGGUUAAUAACCUUGUCGAUUGACGUUACCCGCAGAAGAAGCACCGGCUAACUCCGUGCCAGCAGCCGCGGUAAUACGGAGGGUGCAAGCGUUAAUCGGAAUUACUGGGCGUAAAGCGCACGCAGGCGGUCUGUCAAGUCGGAUGUGAAAUCCCCGGGCUUAACCUGGGAACUGCAUUCGAAACUGGCAGGCUAGAGUCUUGUAGAGGGGGGUAGAAUUCCAGGUGUAGCGGUGAAAUGCGUAGAGAUCUGGAGGAAUACCGGUGGCGAAGGCGGCCCCCUGGACAAAGACUGACGCUCAGAUGCGAAAGCGUGGGGAGCAAACAGG